CCUGCUUUGUGAAGCUCAGCCUCCAGAAAGCGAACAUCGCCUCAGCCCUGAUCUCGCAUGCCGAGUUUUUCAAAUUAUCCAUCAAACGGGAUCAGAUUGUCUCACUUCUUUCACAGCUUCAAACAGACUGCUGGAAGAGAGAGGAGGAGGGUUAUACUGAGAGAAAGAGAGGUGGACGGAGGCAUCUGACAAACUCAUCUGCAACGUAGAGGAGAAGCAGAGCGUCUGUGACAGGACUCAGAAGAUGGAGGCAGAAAGACAUCCAGACAUCUUAAAAGACGAGGAACAUUGCUGGUGUUCCUGCACUCACUGCUCUGCUGUCAACUGCCUAGGUAAACUGUUGCUGCAAAGAGUGGAAUAUGUGCAUAGCAAAAUUGGAAAAUCUCCGUGUGUCCAUGGAUCAGUGUGACCCCAACUGUGGAUAACGAAUCUGCAGCAUCAUGUCCUGACAGUAGUGUUUCACCUCCCCAAAACCAACUGCAAGAAAAGACCAUCACCGCCUCGACCCAGUGUCAGCUCUCCGUACAGCAAGUAACAGUUGUAACAAAUAAGAAGACAUUUUUUGCACUGGAUGUCUCAUUUGCUGCAACCUUUCUACCACUGAUGCUAUACUCUACCUCACAAUAGAAUACACCAGCUGACCUGAUGCAAGAUCAUUAUGUCUCUUGUCAAAAUCAGCUGAAUCCUAAUUUCUGUGUUUGCCUUCAGUCUGACAUGAACGCAAACUUUUACAAGGGUUCAUGUAAAAGUCUAGCUUUUUUGAAAUCAGCAUGGUGCUCAAGCUUUUCAUCCUGAUAUCUGCUGUUUGCGUGCCAGUUUGUGCUAAUUCUUGUUUCCUUGAAUCUGUACAAUGGAUGUAGAGAGUGAAAAGUUAGCAUGAUACAGAUAAGAACCCUGACAACUGAAUUUCCCUUGGGGGAUGAAUAAAGUGAUUCUGAUUCUGA